GAACUUUAAAAAUGAACAAACAUUGCAGCUUUGAAACAUAUCACACAAUCUUCCUCAGCAGAAGAAGUUUUCCUAGUUGUCAUUGAAAUGUAGACAUUUCCAUUGUUUUCUAAGCCCAUUAAGGACUUUGUGUCCAUUUUGGCUUAAAAGUUAAGACUGAAAGUUCAGUCUUGACCAUUUGUCAUGCUUUCAUUUUUGUCAACAGCUGUUUCCAUGGUCAAGAAUGCUUUCAUUCUCAACAUAUUGGACCUUGUUGCAGUGGUGGAAGAAGUAUUCAGAUCCUCUACCAGGCACACUAAUGAGGCUGAUGCAACAGUGUCAGUGCAGCCAGGGUUGACAUGUGUAAGGACGAUGAGCGUGAGGAGAGAGCCGAGAUCUGCAAGAAAAAGGACGCAGGAGGGUUUUGGUGCAGUGUGUGUGAAGUGAAUGCAGAGAUGACAGAGAAAAAGAACCUCUCUCUCUUGUUCCCUUCCUUCAUCACCACCUCCCGGACAGCUUAACUAUCAGUGUAUCCUCCUCUGCCUGUCUGUUUACGGCCAUCAAACACCAUCACAAAGCUUUAAAUCACAGAUGUGCUGGAAGAGAUAGUUGCUGGCAACAAGGACAUUGAUUGUGCAGCCUGACAGGGUAGCACCAUAUCCUCCACAAACACCCUCCAUCCAUUAAACCUCAGCUACACAUUUACACUGAAAUCAAGAGGAAGAUCAACCUCUGCAGGCUUCUGGGCCUUUGUUUUAGAGAAAGAGCCAUGUAUCUACACAGAAGUCUCCCUCGAUGAAAACAGCUAAUCUCCACAAAAGAUAAGUCAAUGCAAGUGAGAGAAUCCUUUAGGGUUUUGUUUUCCACUUCAGCAUCUGAGAUGGAUCGGGCUACUUUCAAUCUGCAUCAUUUAACAUAAUGUGCCUAUGGGAUGAACCCAUUUGCCUCCAUCAACUCCCUUAUAUUUCACUUAAAACAAGCAUGAACUUACCUCUCAUUUAUUCUGUUUUUCAAAUACAUAUUCUAUGUUCAAAUAGUAAUUAAUACAUUGCAAGCCUUUAUCAUUGGUUUUUCCUUGCAGACAGCUUCAAGCUUGAGAGAGAAGAGAGAGAAAGAGUUGGAAGGUGCCUCCUUUUACCCUCCAAGUCAAAGUCUUUGGCCGCUGAAGCAUGUUCUGAGCAGAUAAGAGGGCCAGUUCCUCUCUCACGAGAAAUGGAUUUUCAUUCUUCAACCCCACUCUCCAUCUUGAGCAGUUGGAUAUUUCUCUUUGUUGCCCGUUAGUAUGGCACACUGUAAAACUGCCUCUCGCUCAAAAUCAGCUACAUCACAGCCUCAUGUAGAAACUCUGCUUGCCCCCAGAAAUGAAAUCAAUCACCUGAGGGUAGAACUUGACCCGUGUCAAGAAAAAAUGGGGUUUACACAAUCAAUGGAAGGUCUAGAAAUGGUGCAAAAAAUGCAUGAGAAGUAUAAUGCAUAGAUCAGUAUGUGCUAUAUCAUUCAAUGAUUACUUGAAAUGUUUAUAUCAGCAUUCAAUAAGGACAUUCACAUAAACUGGCGAAACCCCCAAACAAUAAAGAUUGCACUGUAUGCUUCCCUUGGCUCCUUCAUAGCACAUUUCAGUCACAUAAGUCAGAUAUAUUGAGCGUGUAUUUCCUCUGCAGACUAACACUGAUAUUUAAGAGACCUUCAGUGAUUUGUUCUGGGUUGGUUUGAGGUUAAUGAAAUGAGUUAUGGGUGAUGAUCCCCACGCUUCCAGAUCAAUGUACGCUGCUAUUUGUUGACUACAUAAUCAAGCAUCAUAGUCACCAUCAUUAUCACUGCCAGUAUUAUCACCACAGGCUGGUAAUGCCAACUAAAAGUAUCCAAAAAAUCCUAUGUAUCAUGCAUAACAAGUUACAUUAGCAAUCCAUUUCAAAAGGCUUGUUUUUUCCUAUGGCGGUCACCCUCAGGGUUUGUUACACUGUAUGAGAAUAAACAGCUCCCGUACUUUG